AAAAAAAAAAAGGAUUCAUACAGUAAGUAUUAUUUUGUCUGGCUACAAUGAGGUAUUAGCGUUUGUUUUAAAAGUUUCUCUGGGUGAUUUUAAUGAGAAGCAAUGACUGGAUGAUCUUUCAGGACCCUUCCAGCUAAAAAGAUGCCAUGAUUUCAUCUGCUAGCCUAGAGGCACUUUAUGAAAGUUGCAUUUUGGGAAUAAUAUAUAUGAUAGAUAUCAUUAUAAUAAUUAUGACAAUGGUAAUACUAAUGUUUAUUGAUCUUUAACUAUGUGCCCAGGCACUGUGCUAAGUUAUUCAUGUGUAUUUUCUUAUCUAAAUCCUCACAGCAAUCCAGGGGGUAGGUACUAAUUUUAUCCCUGAUAACAGAGGUGGAAACUGAGACACAGGUUAACUUAUCUAAGGUCAAGGAGCUCGCAUGUGGUGGGAUCAGAAUUCAAAUCCAGAUUUUCUCACUAUGAACAGAGACUGCUUUUAAUCAAAAUUCUGCAAGAGUUUCUACAAGGUGAAGUCUCAGCCCCCACUUCCUCGGACAUGCUCGUAAGAAGUGUAAAGUGUUCCCAGAUGAAUGCUUUCAGCUUGUUGAUGAGUUCCAGCUGGGGAGAAGAAAUAAUUCAACCGUACAUUUAGCAAGAAGGCACAGAGCCUACCUCAAUAUGCAAAGGAAUCCAGCUUGUUUCAAGUGUCAAGUGACAGUUUAGACAAGAGAAAAGGACUCAGUACAAAUGAGAUGGGACAGAGGUUGCAUCCCGUGCAUGUCUUCUGAGAUAUAUACAAAAUAGAGAAACAAAGACUAACUCAUCCACUGAUUUCACCGUAGUAAUGCAGAUUAUUUCCUGACAUUUCAAUACACAGAUACACACACACACACACCACACACACACACACACACACAUCUAUUUUCAGUUUUCAAAAUAUUCAUCACUGUCACUACGAACAAUGAACAACUAGUCUUAUUUUGUGGUAGAGGAGUCUUCCCAGAGUACCUGACAGGUGACCAAAUAUCACCCUGCUCCUGCAAACCUAUUUGAUUCUGGGAGUCUUGGUAGACAUGCUUGGUUGGUUUACAGCCUGUGCUUCUUAUAAAUUCACUAGUGGCUUAAAAAAAAAAAAAAGCAUCAGCACGAUGAAAAUAUAUGUCUUUCUUAAGUUGCACUCACCCAUGACAUCCAAAUCAAAGGCUUGUCAGCUGAGGUUGUCCCAGUUCCCUCCAAGAGAAUAUUAACAAUUAAUCCUGAUCACCCGAAACAAACAGGUUCCUAUUCAAAUACUGGCUGUCAGUAUCUGGCUGUCAAGCCAAGAGCAAGGCUAAGGCCUCAGCCUGCCCAGCUGUCUGCCCGCUGGGUGACAGUGUUGAUCCAUCUGAAAUAAAUGCGCUUUGUCCCUGGGCCAGAAAAUACCAGGUCCCUAAAAGGAAAGACUGCAGCCAGAUGGUGUUCUGAGGGCCUGGGGAAACGCUUUGCCUUCCUUCCCGGAGAGAAGCAGAAUGAUUCUGUGUUUUCUUUAUCUUUCAAAGGAAGAUGUGAGGUGAAGCAUUGUUCUGAUGUUACCAUAUUGGGCUAGGUUUCUCUGGGCGAAGUGCUACCGCGAAUGAUGUG
rnacentral:lncRNA from 1 species